AGAUCAAUUCACUCCCGUGAUAGAAAUCCUCAAGCAAAGCUAGCCCAGACUAAUUCCCAUUAACGGAAUCUAACUAUGCAGGCAAUAAGAACAGACUGAUAAAGUCAAUAAACGCUCUAAACGGCCAAUCCCUUGGGAUAGAGACGAAUAUCUCAGGAACUAGUGGAUCAAGCAUUCCAUCGAACACCUUCUGGUUGCGGGAAUGCUUGGGAUCGAAUUCCAGUUGAUCAGAAAGAAAUAAGCAGUAAACACAACUAGUCCUGAAGGGAUUCAAUCAAUUCUAAAACUUAACCAUUCUAUAGACUACGGAUUCCACAACUACUCUAUCCCAUCCUUAAGAAUUCUAAGUCACUACUCAGACAAUAUGCUCAAAGACAUAAACGCAGAUAAAUGAUAAUAUUGGAUAAGUAAAGAGAUAAAGAGUAGAGAAACAAGAUAACAAAUGAAAUCAAAUGCGGAAUCUGAAUAACUUGGAAAAAUCUCGAAUUACAGGUUGUAGAAGCAAAAGCGGCGCAGCCAGAGUAAAACAGAAAAUAAAACUGAAGCAAAAACCCAAUGUCGACUAGAUGUCUCAGGACAGAACCCAAAGACAUCUAUUUAUGCAAAACGAAAUAAAAUGAUAGGAGACAGGCCAAUAACCUCAUCGCCCGACCCAUAGAGUGAUAAUGGGCCGAGAUGGGCUUCGUGAUCCGAUGGAGGUCCAGGCCGCUUCCAAACACUUCGUCUUCUCCUCUUCUCUUCCUUGUGCUCCGCUUGUCUGGUUGAGUGCGGAUUUGAGUAGACUAAGAAGAUGUGAUCGAGUGCCCGGUCGAGUAGUGGUGUUGGUGGUGAGUGAUGAUACUCGACCCACUGGUCGAGUAACGUGGUAGAGUGAACGGCCGAGUGUGGUCAGGUGGUUUGGCGAAGUGAUACUCGACCAGGGGGUCGAGUGGCGUCAUCGAGUGGCCUGAGCUGAGGUUACUCGAUCUGGGGGUCCAGUAGAUGGGAAGAAUGGCUCCAAAGUCACUCGACCAGGGGGUCGAGUAUGGCGCUGGAUGCACACGACAUGGUGGUCGAGUAUAUCUUCUGGUUCUGGCUCGUUUCUUCUAAUUUGCUCGCAAACAGCUCCAAAUCACCUGAAAACAACUCAGAAAUGCAAUAUGUAUGCAAAGCUAUCCUAAUCAUGCAAAGUAUGCAAGAAUGAUGAGAAAUGAUAUAAAACAGUGAUGAAUGAUACAAAACUU
rnacentral:sRNA from 1 species